rnacentral:rRNA from 1 species
AGUUAAGUGACUAAGCGUACAAGGUGGAUGCCUUGGCAAUCAGAGGCGAAGAAGGACGUGCUAAUCUGCGAAAAGCUUGGAUGAGUCGAUAAGAGGCGUUUAAUCCAAGAUAUCCGAAUGGGGAAACCCAGUAGAUGAAGAAUCUACUAUCAACAAGUGAAUUCAUAGCUUGUUGAGGCAAACCGGGAGAACUGAAACAUCUAAGUACCCCGAGGAAAAGAAAUCAACCGAGAUUUCGUCAGUAGCGGCGAGCGAAAGCGAAAGAGCCAGUAAGUGAUAGCAGUAUAGUGAGGAGAAUGUGUUGGGAAACACAAUCAAAGAGGGUGAUAAUCCCGUAUCUAAAAACCAUAUUGUGGUACUAAGCUAACGAGAAGUAGGGCGGGACACGUGAUAUCCUGUUUGAAGAAGGGGGGCCCAUCCUCCAAGGCUAAAUACUCCUGAUUGACCGAUAGUGAACCAGUACUGUGAAGGAAAGGCGAAAAGAACCCCGGUGAGGGGAGUGAAAUAGAACCUGAAACCUUGUACGUACAAGCAGUGGGAGCCCCAUCACUUAAUCCGAUUGGAAGGUGAUGAAAAGCAACCGCACUUAAACAAUGGUAAGAGGAGCGAAGCGAGUCAAACCACCCAAAAGAAGCAGUGGGAUUAAGUGAUGGGGUGACUGCGUACCUUUUGUAUAAUGGGUCAGCGACUUAUAUUUUGUAGCGAGGUUAACUGAAUAAGGGAGCCGAAGGGAAACCGAGUCUUAACUGGGCGAAUAGUUGCAAGGUAUAGACCCGAAACCCGGUGAUCUAGCCAUGGGCAGGUUGAAGGUUGGGUAACACUAACUGGAGGACCGAACCGACUAAUGUUGAAAAAUUAGCGGAUGACUUGUGGCUGGGGGUGAAAGGCCAAUCAAACCGGGAGAUAGCUGGUUCUCCCCGAAAUCUAUUUAGGUAGAGCCUUGAGGUGACACCUUUGGGGGUAGAGCACUGUUUCGGCUAGGGGUCCAUCCCGGAUUACCAACCCGAUGCAAACUACGAAUACCAAAGAGUGAUACUCAGGAGACACACGGCGGGUGCUAACGUCCGUCGUGGAGAGGGAAACAACCCAGACCGCCAGCUAAGGUCCCCAAGUCUAUAUUAAGUGGGAAACGAAGUGGGAAGGCUUAGACAGCUAGGAUGUUGGCUUAGAAGCAGCCAUCAUUUAAAGAAAGCGUAAUAGCUCACUAGUCGAGUCGGCCUGCGCGGAAGAUGUAACGGGGCUGAAAUAUAGCACCGAAGCUGCGGCAUCAGGCGUAUCACUAAUACGCCUUACGAUUAACAACAUGGAAUGGCGCGAAGCGUCAUGAAAGGUUGUUCAAGCAACCCGAACGUUGAGUCGGCACAUUUUUGAAGUAAGGAUGAUUAGUGAUACGCCUGUUGGGUAGGGGAGCGUUGUGUAAGCGGAAGAAGGUUCAUCGAGAGGUGGGCUGGACGUAUCACAAGUGCGAAUGCUGACAUAAGUAACGAUAAAACGGGUGAAAAACCCGUUCGCCGGAAGACCAAGGGUUCCUGUCCAACGUUAAUCGGGGCAGGGUGAGUCGGCUCCUAAGGCGAGGCUGAAAAGCGUAGUCGAUGGGAAACAGGUUAAUAUUCCUGUACUUGGUAAAGCUGCGAUGUGGGGACGGAGUAGGUUAGGUUAUCGCACUGUUGGAUAUGUGCGUUUAAGUUGGUAGGUGGGAAGUUUAGGCAAAUCCGGACUUCCUUAACACAGAGAGAUGAUGACGAGGCUCUACGGAGCUGAAGUAACUGAUACCACACUUCCAGGAAAAGCCACUAAGCGAAAGGCUUUACUAAACCGUACUGAAAACCGACACAGGUGGUCAGGUAGAGAAUACUCAGGCGCUUGAGAGAACUCGGGUGAAGGAACUAGGCAAAAUAGCACCGUAACUUCGGGAGAAGGUGCGC